rnacentral:rRNA from 1 species
UACGUAAGGUCCGAGCGUUGUCCGGAUUCACUGGGCGUAAAGGGUUCGCAGGCGGAAAUGCAAGUCAGAUGUAAAAGGCAGUAGCUUAACUACUGUAAGCAUUUGAAACUGCAUAUCUUGAGAAGAGUAGAGGUAAGUGGAAUUUUUAGUGUAGCGGUGAAAUGCGUAGAUAUUAAAAAGAAUACCGGUGGCGAAGGCGACCUACUGGGCACAUUCUGA